rnacentral:rRNA from 1 species
UGGGUAGUCCGUACGAGCGCACCCUAUCCUUAGCUGCCAGCGAGUAUGUCGGGAGCUCUAGGGAGACUGCCGGUGACAAACCGGAGGAAGGUGGGGACGACGUCAAGUCAUCAUGGCCCUUAUGGGCAGGGCUACACACGUGCUACAAUGGCCGGCACAGAGGGCUGCGAAGUCGCAAGGCGGAGCGAAUCUCAGAAAACCGGUCGUAGUCCGGAUUGCAGUCUGCAACUCGACUGCAUGAAGUUGGAAUCGCUAGUAAUCGCGGAUCAGAAUGCCGCGGUGAAUACGUUCCCGGGCCUUGUACACACCGCCCGUCACACCAUGGGAGUGGGCUGUACCAGAAGUAGGUAGUCUAACCUUCGGGGGGACGCUUACCACGGUGUGGUUCAUGACUGGGGUGAAGUCGUAACAAGGUAGCCCUAGGGGAACCUGGGGCUGGAUCACCUCCUU